rnacentral:rRNA from 1 species
CCUACGGGUGGCAGCAGUGAGGAAUAUUGGUCAAUGGACGCGAGCCUGAACCAGCCAAGUAGCGUGAAGGAUGACGGCCCUACGGGUUGUAAACUGCUUUUAUGAAGGGAUAAAGUGAGUCACGUGUGGCUUUUUGUAGGUACUUUAUGAAUAAGGACCGGCUAAUUCCGUGCCAGCAGCCGCGGUAAUACGGAGGGUCCGAGCGUUAUCCGGAUUUAUUGGGUUUAAAGGGAGCGUAGGUGGGCCGUUAAGUCAGUUGUGAAAUGUCGCGGCUCAACCGUGACAUUGCAAUUGAAACUGGCAGCCUUGAGUACAGCUGAGGUAGGCGGAAUUCGUGGUGUAGCGGUGAAAUGCUUAGAUAUCACGAAGAACUCCGAUUGCGAAGGCAGCCUACUAAACCGUUACUGACACUGAUGCUCGAAAGUGCGGGUAUCGAACAGGAUUAGAUACCCCAGUAGUC